rnacentral:misc_RNA from 1 species
CCAUAGAUCUGAACACGUU